AUAACCAUACUCUUUGCACUGAGACUGCGGAGCCCUGGGGACGAGACCUUUGCCUCUGAGCUUUCUAUUUGGAGCUCUGCAGCUUUAUGACAGUAACAGAAGGAGUAACUUCCCAGAUGACUCUGCAGUGAGUGCCGAAGUUUUUGAAAUGCUACUUUUUGGCUACUUAGAAGGUCACCGAUAACAGAGGGUAUAAAUCUCUGAUUGUCCUCAUAUAAGCUACUACGUGGGGAGGAGCAGAUCCUGGUGUCUCGCUUGCAAGUACAACCCACAACAAACCAUGAAGUCUUUCCCCUGUUCUCCCAGACAGGUCAGCAUCAAAGUCCAGCCCGGCAUCUUAUUUCUCAGAUGCCAUUUCCCAGGUUUAAAGCCUUGAAGCAGGCGAGUAACCCCCCUGAAUCACCAGAGGCUCAGCUGUCUGCACCGUUCUUUGCACCAAGCUUUGGGAGCCCGAGCACAACCAGGGUUUGCACUGCACGCUCUAACGCCUGUCGCUCAGAGAGGCCAAAGCUCACCCAGCUCCUGGCUUGUGCUGGUGACCUCAGAAGGCAUCUGAUGACAGCACAGGCCAGCAUCCAUCAGCUCUCACACUGGUGCCCCUCUUGAAGCCAAUGCUUCCUACCAGCCUCCUCGCUCUGGACCUCUGCGAGCAGUCUGCUGUGGGUCUCUUUUCAUUUGGGUUCAGAGACUUGUCACAUCGCUGCCUCAUCAUCCCAUGUGAGAAGAAGAACCGCUGAGCGAGUGGAAAGGCUGCAGCCUAACACCAUCUGAGCUGGCCCCCAGGAAGCUUAAGCACAGGGGACAAUGACAAGGUGGCAUCUUAGUGUUCAAACAGUACAUGGAAAAGCAAAGGCCAGCCUGGGCCACCUGCUCCAGAAAGGCUCUCUAGGAGCAAAAUCAUUUCCAAGGGCUGAAACAGUGUUCCAGUGCCCAAGGGCUCUUCCAUCUGACAUUCAUCUGGGAGGCUCUUCCAGCAGAAGAGGGAAGAACAGCAUGGCUGGGAUGAUGCAGGAGAGAGCAUCACCUUGGGUCCGGACACGCCAGCAAAGCCCCAAGACAUCAAGGCAAUAAAAAUACCAGUCAGGAGAGGGGUAUUUUUAAAAGUGUGUGUUAUCUCACAACCACAGGAGACACUGUCCUCACCAAGAAUAGCAUGAAAACACUUCACUGACAUUACUGCGCUAAGCAUGUCUGCUGGCUGGCAGGUCACUGCCACCAUCACCCUCACACUGGAGGGAAAAACAAGGCAUGCGGGGUACAUACAUAAUCCUUUCUUCCCUCCUUCUUCAGCAGCAGAACCAUGGGAAGAAAGCAAGGAUCUCCGAUUCACAGCCCUCGCAAAAAUGCCUUAGGCAGCACUGCUUCUCUGCCUGCCCUUCAGAUUGGUUUAUUCGCUGCAUCUCCACAGUUCUACUCUGUCUGGAGGUCACUGCCCAUCUCAGAUCAGUGAGAGGCUGGAUGCUCUUCACCUGUACUGAAACAAGAGCACUUGUACAUCAGGGCUUCCCUGGGCUACACAACACAAGCAGGCCUCUCACCUGGCCUCCCACUACCAUCCUCUGCAAGAGGCCACAGUCAAGAGGGCCUCAGAAGAACCCUCCCAAGUGUACCAAGGUCCCUGGUGUGCUCGCAGUUUCUGAGUUUCAGAGUGCUGGGCAAAAAGCCAGAAAUCACAGAAUGGCUGAGGUUGGCAGGUGCCCGUGGAGCAGGCUCUAGUCCAAAGCUCCUGCAAAGAGCAAGGUCGGCUGCAGGAUGUUGCCCAAGCCUCUGCCCAGGCAUGUUCUGAGUAUCUCCAAGGACAGAGACUCCACAAGUUCUCCAGGCAACCUGAAUUUCCUGUGUUUCAGUUUGUGCCCAUUACCCCUUGUCCUGUCCCGGGGCACCACUGUGAAGGAAAGCCAUGCCAAGCCUGGAUUGAGGUUUCCCUUUGUGUGCGAGCACAGCAUCACCCUUCAGAGGUACCGACCUCCCUCAGCUGCUUCCAGAGCUGAGGCACGAUACUCAGCCAGGGGCCUGCUGCCUCCUCUCUGAGCUGCGUACACAAAAGUUCCCACAAUCGCCUGAAAAAUGGAAGCACAAAACGCUCCUCUACCUCUGCCACCAGGCCAGAGGCUGACAUACCACACGCUGUCGGCAUGGAAACUGCACGAGCGCCUCAGGUAGCGCUGUCCCAGCUGGGCAGGGCUGGCCAGAGACCCGCGGACACCGUGCCAUCUGUCAGAAAGGUGUCCCCUCCGUUCCUGCUGUUUAUUUUAGCGUGAGCUGAGGCGAGCUCAGCAGGGAGCUAAGGGAUAAUUCUGUCUCUCAGCUUCUCCAGGGGUUCUUAAAGCCGCAGUAAUGAGCUUGGGCCCUGGGGAACCACCCCGCCACGGUGCCCCAGUCCAGGGACACCCAAGCAGAACCAAAAAAGAAAAAGGAAAGCACAUGGGGCAGGGGUAAGAAGAAUGCGAUAAACACAUCAGACUAGAACGGGAUUAGACUGCUGAUAGGUCUGAAGGACAGGCACCGUCUGGGGAAUGCUCACAGGGGAGACAGCUCCACUGAAAACAACGGAGGCAGGAGCACAAGACGAUACAGAACAGGUCAGGAUUUGUGGUGCAGUCAGAAGGAUCAGGUCACGGUGGGGGCUGCUUCAAGUCAGGACAAUGGUAGAAGGUACACGAGGAGUCCAGGACACACCAUCCAGCUCUGCUCCUGCUCUAGCCAGCCCCACCUGCUCUUCCACCUCUCAAAUCACAAAGGAUAUCUGUUUUCUUCCCCCUGAGCUGGUUUUGCCUGCAUAUCACAAAUAUGUGGAGGAUCAUGAGGGGCUCAGGAGACUGAGGCACUUGUUUUGGCUGCAAUGCGCAAGGUCAUACACGCUUCUCCUGCAGUGCCAUACAGUGUUGACUGAAAGAUAUCCAAGGUACCCACACAGGAGAUGGGGUGGUUGAAAAGUCAGGGGUGGGGUGCUAGACAUGAAGACUCGGAGGUGCAGACAGCACAAAGUACAAGCAGGAGAGUGGGAACAAACCUAGACCAGCUACAUGCAUGUGCAGUCAAGAAUGCAAGAUGCUCAGACACUGCACUGCCACCCCAGCUGCAAAGCCAUCCAAGCAAUCUAGCACUCUCAUCACCCAGUCCUACAUCCCAUACUGCUCUGCAGACACCAGUGCAGUACACUGCCGCAGUCCCUGACCAGAGCUGUCUACCACCAAUGACACUCACUCCUGCCAAACACCACUUACUACCCCAGAUCAGCACAUUUGGUCAAGAAGGAUCCAAACAACACCCUACAGGACAGCAAUGCAUAGCAACAUGAGUUCAUCACAGGAGAUGUAGAGUUUUGCUCCAAGGAAGCUUUGAACCCAUGGCCUCCAAAAUAGAAAAUGCCUCUGCAUGAUUAGCUUCAUCAGCACUCAACCUGAAUUGCUACUAGAGUCUAUUUACUCCAGAUCAGCAACUUCUGUUAUGCAGCUGAUCAAGCCAAAGGAAACCUCCAGAAAUAAUCUUGCAGGUGUAGAUGUUUGAUGACAAUCACCACAUUCAGAUAUUUGUGGAAAGAUGAAGGAAGUGCACCAGUAAAGGGCAACUUACACGAAUUUUAAUUACUCUAGUCUUCGUUCCACAAUUCUUCUUGAGCAGCAUCUUCUGAAAAAGAAUUAGAAUCCAGGGAUUAGUAGCAGAAACAUGAGGGAACAGAAAGAGUGAGAUUGUAGGGAGUCUCUUUUCAUCAAUAUUUAAUUAUCGAACAAGAUGGAUGGAUGGAUGGUUAAGUGAGAUAUGAAAGACAGGACUAAGAAAUACCAGAAGUGGCCAUCAAACAAUCAGCCGAAUCUGAGAUUCUUUCACCCAGCCUAGACAGUGGCUGACACCCCAGAUUUCAAAAGGAAGUACAAGGAAUGCCAAAGAGGAGGAAAUGAAACAACUGCCUGAAAGGAAUUUUCUUCUUAACUUCUGUCAAUUGGUGGUUAGACUCUGCCCUGAAGCAGGUGAAUUCAUCUUCCUUUUAUGAAGAAAAAAAUAGCCUAUUUAAUGCAAGUGUGGAUGUUCCCAUUAUUCAAGUUACUUUCGUUAUGUUUAUUUCAAAUUACAAAAGAAGUAAAAAGCACCUGCCCACAGCCCUAAAACCCUUUGCUAUAAACUGUAAGAACCAUUAAAGUCAUCAUAACAUAUGAACCACACCAUUCAGCCACCAGGACGUACUUGAAACAGUAAUUACUUCAGUGUAACUACAGGAAUACAUGUGUGAGUUGCAGCUCUAUCCCAGUUCUGAGGCAGCACUCUGAAAGUUGGCAAGUGAAUAAAAUCAUUCUUUCCCCUCAAAAAACAAAUCCCAAAAAACACUCAAAGUGGAAAAACAAGGCUUGAAGAGAAAACACAUUCUCCAUUAAAAGUACCUCAUUUUUUACACUGAAAACCUUGGUGAGGGGGACACGACAGGAAGAAAUGUCUCCAGCAGUUUUUGAAAGAAAUAAUAGAUUUUCCUAGCUCCUGACUGUUUUCUACACUUUCCACUUGGAAAGCUGUGUAAAGGGUGGGAAAACACUUCUCCCUCCACACACAUACGCUUUAACAAAGCAACUGAAGUGUUUUUCAGAUGACAUUCUUAUGACAGAAGACCUGUGGAAAAACGUCCCACUACCCUCCUAACAUGGACAGUAAAUAGCGAGAUCUUCCUAUUUCCUUGCUUCUUUUGUUUGUAGUCUUCCUGCUUUUUCCAAUAAAAUGACAAGAUAAAAGCAAGAAUAAAAGACUCGCAACACUUUUAAAAAUAAUACACUUAUAGCAUCCCCCCCCCCAAAAAAAAACAAAACAACAAACAACUGAAGA